AGCAAAACACUCACCUUGGUCCACAGACAACACCCGCGUCCACGUGGUGGGUGGGGCCGGCUCCGUCAGAGGAUGGGAAGAUGAGAAGUGCUUAUCACCGGGCCUGGAGAUGGGGACCACCCAGGCAUGUAGGGGACGCUGCCUCUCCUCCAUCCAACAACAAGCCUGCCUGUGCCCAGCCCCCUCUGGUACACGCAUUGCUCCACAUCCUCAGCAUUGAUUGAUUGAAAAUAAGACCUUGGAAGAACCCCUUGCAAAGCUGAUAUCGUACGAGCCAAGGCAGCAGCCCCGGAGAGGGUCAGCGAGGGGCCUCCACUGUCUGAGUCUGCUCCUGGCAACGCCUGCUCUCUGCACUCAGAGGCCCUGUCCCGGCAGCUGCCACGUUGCUCAGAAGUUCUGGCAGGGGGAGCCUGAAACCCCUGUCUGCUGGCGACACUCCCGGAGCUGCAGGAAAUCUCUACAUUUUAUUUUUUUUCUUAACAGACAAAAGUAUUUGACUCCAGAAUGAUUUCCAGGAAUUACAGUAUGAGAACUUAGUCUUUGAGAUUUUUAUUUUCUUCUUAAAAAAAUAAAAAUGAAAUCAAAGCAGAAGACACUGGUUGAGCAGACAGCACACUGGCACAUUCCACUUCGCAACAAAACCUGCGU
rnacentral:lncRNA from 1 species